rnacentral:rRNA from 1 species
ACAUGAAGCUGGAAUCGCUAGUAAUCGCGGAUCAGAAUGCCGCGGUGAAUACGUUCCCGGGUCUUGUACACACCGCCCGUCACACCAUGGGAGUCGGAAAUGCCCGAAGUCUGUGACCCAACCUACGGGAGGGAGCAGCCGAAGGCAGGUCUGAUAACUGGGGUGAAGUCGUAACAAGGUACC